UCCUUCUGUAUUUCUUGUGGUCCCGGAGC
rnacentral:piRNA from 1 species